UACCAGCACCCCGAGUGGUCGGGACGAUUAUUGGGCCUAAAGCAUCCGUAGCCGGUUCUACAAGUCUUCCGUUAAAUCCACCUGCUCAACAGUUGGGCUGCGGAGGAUACUAUAGAGCUAGGAGGCGGGAGAGGCAAGCGGUACUUAGUGGGUAGGGGUAAAAUCCGUUGAUCCAUUGAAGACCACCAGUGGCGAAGGCGGCUUGCCAGAACGCACUCGACGGUGAGGGAUGAAAGCUGGGGGAGCAAACGGG
rnacentral:rRNA from 1 species